rnacentral:misc_RNA from 1 species
GAUGAAGAACGUAGCGAAAUGCGAUAAGUAAUGUGAAUUGCAGAAUUCAGUGAAUCAUCGAAUCUUUGAACGCACAUUGCGCCCGCCAGUAUUCUGGCGGGCAUGCCUGUUCGAGCGUCAUUACAACCCUCAGGCCCCCGGGCCUGGCGUUGGGGAUCGGCGGAGCCCCCCGUGGGCACACGCCGUUCCCCAAAUGCAGUGGCGGUCCCGCCGCAGCUUCCAUCGCGUAGUAGCUAACACCUCGCAACUGGAGAGCGGCGCGGCCACGCCGUAAAACACCCAACUUCUGAAUGUUGACCUCGAAUCAGGUAGGAAUACCCGCUGAACUUAAGCAUAUCAAUAAGCGGAGGA